rnacentral:rRNA from 1 species
GACGAACCGUGCGAACGUUGUUCGGAAUCACUGGGCUUAAAGGGCGCGUAGGCGGCCGCGUUAGUCUCGGGUGAAAUCUUUCGGCUCAACCGGAAACGUGCCUGGGAUACUGCGCGGCUGGAGGGAGGUAGGGGCGGACGGAACUCCGGUGGAGCGGUGAAAUGCGUUGAUAUCGGAAGGAACGCCGGUGGCGAAAGCGGUCCGCUGGCCCUCUACUGAC